UGGAAUGAAUGGUUGGACAAGAAAUAAUCUGUCUUAAUUAAAGGUAUUGAAUUUAACUUUUAAGUGAAAAGGCUUAAAUGAUCUGAAGGGACGAUAAGACCCUAUAAAACUUUAUAUUUAAGGGUGUAAAUUAUUUUUAUUUUUAUGUUAUUAUCUAGAAGUAUUUGGUUGGGGCGACAGGGAUAGAAUGAUUAGUAACUGUCUUUUUUUUUUUACAAUAAUGUUUGGUUUAAUGAUCCUAAAAAGGAUUAAAGAUUAAGUUACUUUAGGGAUAACAGCGUAAUUUUCUUUGAGAGUUCUUAUCGACAGGAAAGUUUGCGACCUCGAUGUUGAAUUAAAG
rnacentral:rRNA from 1 species